rnacentral:rRNA from 1 species
UACGUAGGGGGCAAGCGUUGUCCGGAAUUAUUGGGCGUAAAGCGCGCGCAGGCGGCGACUUAAGUCUGGUGUUUAAACCCAAGGCUCAACCUUGGGUCGCACUGGAAACUGGGUUGCUUGAGUGCAGGAGAGGAAAGUGGAAUUCCACGUGUAGCGGUGAAAUGCGUAGAGAUGUGGAGGAACACCAGUGGCGAAGGCGACUUUCUGGCCUGUAACUGACGCUGAGGCGCGAAAGCGUGGGUAGCAAACAGG